UACGUAGGGUGCGAGCGUUGUCCGGAAUUAUUGGGCGUAAAGAGCUCGUAGGCGGUCUGUCGCGUCGAUCGUGAAAACUUGGGGCUUAACCCUGAGCUUGCGGUCGAUACGGGCAUGACUGGAGUUCGGCAGGGGAGAUUGGAAUUCCUGGUGUAGCGGUGAAAUGCGCAGAUAUCAGGAGGAACACCGGUGGCGAAGGCGGGUCUCUGGGCCGAUACUGACGCUGAGGAGCGAAAGCGUGGGGGAGCGAACAGG
rnacentral:rRNA from 1 species